AGCGAACGCUGGCGGCAGGCCUAACACAUGCAAGUCGAACGGACCCUUCGGGGUUAGUGGCGGACGGGUGAGUAACACGUGGGAACGUGCCUUUAGGUUCGGAAUAGCUCCUGGAAACGGGUGGUAAUGCCGAAUGUGCCCUUCGGGGGAAAGAUUUAUCGCCUUUAGAGCGGCCCGCGUCUGAUUAGCGAGUUGGUGAGGUAAUGGCUCACCAAGGCGACGAUCAGUAGCUGGUCUGAGAGGAUGACCAGCCAUACUGUGACUGAGACACGGCCCAGACUCCUACGGGAGGCAGCAGUGGGAAAUCUUGCGCAAUGGGCGAAAGCCUGACGCAGCCAUGCCGCGUGAAUUAUGAAGGUCUUAGGAUUGUAAAAUUCUUUCACCGGGGACGAUAAUGACGGUACCCGGAGAAGAAGACCCAGCUAACUUCGUGCCAGCCGCCGCAAUAA
rnacentral:rRNA from 1 species